GGAGGCAUGAGAUAUCAAUCAAAUAUAUUUAAGCAGUACAUCGGUUUGGUUCAGAAAGGAGGGACAACUCAAAGACUUCCACGCUAUAGGCUAUUUCAGUAUUUUUCACUUACCAGUAAGAUUCUGAUGGCUAUCUUCUUGAGUAUAACUUGAAAUUAUUAUUCUUUUGAAAAAAACAAACUGAGAAAUCAUUUGUGGGGUAAAAAAGAUAUGGACAGCAAUAAGUACUUACCUCUAUAUUGAAUGAUAGGUCAGAUGUUGAAGUGGUCACUUCCAGUGUGGUUUUAUUUGGAACUGGGACCUCUAAGAAAGCAAUUAAGGUUAAAUGAGGUUGCUCUGAUCUGACAGUAUUAGUGCAUUUAUAAGAAGAGAAAUUAGGGAGCUAUCCAGCCCCAAUGAGAAAGAAGAGGUCACAUAAGCACACAGCAAGAAGGCUGCUGUCUACACGUCUAGAGAAGAGGCCUCAGAAAGAAGCCAGCCUUGCCAGCAAUUUGAUCUUGGACAUUUUAGCCUUGAGAACUGUGAAAAUAAAUUUCUGUUGUUUAAGUUACCCAAUCUGUAGCAUUUUGUUAUGGCAGCUAUAGCAGACAAGUGUGGUAUACUAACUAAAUAAAACUUAUUUUUUAAAAAAUGGACAAAGAAUUUGAAUUGACACUUUUCCAAAAAUGUUAUACAAUAUGCAGUAUGUACAUGAAAAGAGAGUCAGUAUCAUUAGCCAUCAGGUAAAUACCAAUGAAAACCAUGAGACACCACUCACAUCCACUAGAAAUUGCAUAUAAUAUUCCCACAAAAAUUGUAUAUAAAUUUGUACAGCAGCAUUAUUCAUAGUAGCCAAAAAGUGAAAAUAAUUCAACUGUCCAUCAUUCAAUGAAUGGGUUAAAAAAUUUAAUGUGUCGAUAAAAUGGAAUAUAAUUUGCCACAAAAAGUAAUAAAAUGCUAAUAUAUACAACAUGGAUGAAUCUUGCAAAAAUUAUGUUAAGUGGAAGAAGCUAGACCCAAAAGGACGCAUAUAGUAUAAUCCUAUUUAUAUGAAGUUUCCUAAAUGGGCAAACUCAUAGAGACAGAAAGUAGAUUCGUGGUUGUCGGUAUCUAAGGAAAAGUGGGAAUGAAAAAUGAUUGCUCAUGGACAUGGCAUUUCUUUUUGACAUAAUAAAAAUAUUCUAAAAUUAGAGGUGUUGAUAUCAAAAAUGCAUAUACUAAAAUCCACUGAAUUACAAAUUUUAAAAGGGUGAAUUUUAUAAAUUAUAAAUUAUAUUUCAAUAAAGAUGUUAUGAAAACUCAAAACAAAUAAUAAAAAAAGUAUUUUCUAUUGCUAUGAAGUUUCAAAAUAGUCAGUGGGGUACACAUAGGUGGUAGUAAAAGUAAAAAGAGAGCAAAGAUAUAUUUGCCAGAAAGUUAGGAGAACGAAUAUUUUCAAGAACAAGGAAAGGGUGUAUGAUCAGGGAAGGACACAAAAGAGGCUUCUGUAGCAACCGUAUUAAAAUAUCUACCUUUCUAUCACAUCUGGAUGGCUAAUCAGUAUUCACUAUUGCAGCUCUAAUGAGAAAUAAUUUAGACUAUAAAAACAACAGUAUCAUAUAGUUAUUGAGACCCCCAAAGUGACUCAUCUGUCUGCUGAGUUUUUUCUUGCUGGUUGUCUUGUUUAUUAUUUAUGUUAAUAAAUCAGAUCUUCUACAGUGCAUUAUAUUGGCUAUUCUCUGUUCCUACCCACUCCCCC
rnacentral:lncRNA from 10 species